GUCCAGGGUAGCCUAGUGGUCAUGGCAUCUGCCCAGUAAGCGGAAGGUCGUGGGUUCGAUUCCCAUCCCUUGACA
rnacentral:tRNA from 1 species